AGAUGAAUCCUGAUUGAUUUCAUUUCCCUUCAAAAAAUCCUGAUUAGUUUCUUGGUUCCAUUGUCUAUCGGUUGCGGGAGGACGCACUGUCAGAUAACCCAGGUGGUCAUGGAGCUGUGCAAGACGAUGGCCAUCUUGGCCUCAAGGAAGCACUAUUGCAUCAAUAAGACCGUAUGCAUGGCUGAGCCAAUUGACGAGGAAUUGUGACAUACAAGACACAUAUAUUUACUAAUCAUUUGGGUUCUUCAUUGUAAACCAUUUAGUGAGACCUUUUCUCCAUCAGCAAGAAGCUUCUAGAUGACAAAGUUCAAGGAUGCCCAGAAUUCAAAAACUGAGUCAUCGUCCAUCCCUUCGGACCGAUGGCUGCUAUGAAGUUCCUGAUAUUGA